rnacentral:piRNA from 1 species
UUGUCCAAUUCAGAAACCUGUGGUGAC